CUCAAGAUGAGUGCUCUCCUA
rnacentral:rRNA from 3 species